AGGACGAACGCUGGCGGCGUGCUUAACACAUGCAAGUGGAGCGACGAACCGGGGCUUGCCCCGGGGCAGAGCCGCGAACGGGUGAGUAACACGUGGGUUACCUGCCUUGAUGACCGGGACAACCCGAGGAAACUCGGGCUAAUACCGGAUGUGCCCGCAAGGGGAAAGGAAGCUUCGGCCUCCGCAUCAAGAUGGGCCCGCGGCCCAUUAGCUUGUUGGUGAGGUAACGGCUCACCAAGGCUUCGAUGGGUAGCUGGUCUGAGAGGACGAUCAGCCACACUGGGACUGAGACACGGCCCAGACUCCUACGGGAGGCAGCAGUAGGGAAUUUUCCACAAUGGGCGAAAGCCUGAUGGAGCAACGCCGCGUGCAGGAUGAAGGCUCUAGGGUCGUAAACUGCUUUUAUAUGUGACGAUAAUGACGGUAGCAUAUGAAUAAGGAUCGGCUAACUCCGUGCCAGCAGCCGC
rnacentral:rRNA from 1 species